rnacentral:lncRNA from 1 species
GGCUCGAAAACCCUAGCCUAAAAAAGAAACCCAAAUGUAGUCUAGGUGUGGGUGCUCGUAUGGUACACAUGCAUCACAAUGCACAUACAGGAUACUUGGCCCCCAUGUCCACCAGUGUUCCAAGGUCCCAUGAUGAACUAAUCAAAGUGACCUUAUACCCUACAGAAAAACCAAAGGUAGACAAAUUCCUUGACGCAUGGACAUAGAGGUCCAUGCGCGAAUGAGGCGACCCACAUGUGUGCCAAGCUUGCAGCCCAACCCGCAUGGUCCACGCAAACGCACACCCACU